rnacentral:rRNA from 1 species
CGAGCAUAUCAUAGCGGAGGAAAGAACCAACAGGGAUUGCCCCAGUAACGGCGAGUGAAGCGGCAACAGCUCAAAUUUGAAAUCUGGCUUCGGCCCGAGUUGUAAUUUGUAGAGGAUGCUUUUGGUGAGGUGCCUUCUGAGUUCCCUGGAACGGGACGCCAGAGAGGGUGAGAGCCCCGUAUAGUCGGCCACCGAUCCUUUGUAAAGCUCCUUCGACGAGUCGAGUAGUUUGGGAAUGCUGCUCAAAAUGGGAGGUAUAUCUCUUCUAAAGCUAAAUAUUGGCCAGAGACCGAUAGCGCACAAGUAGAGUGAUCGAAAGAUGAAAAGCACUUUGAAAAGAGGGUUAAAUAGCACGUGAAAUUGUUGAAAGGGAAGCGCUUGUGACCAGACUUGUGCCGGGCUGAUCAUCCAGUGUUCUCACUGGUGCACUCGACCCGGCUCAGGCCAGCGUCGGUUCUCGCGGGGGGAUAAAAGCUUCGGGAACGUGGCACCUCCGGGUGUGUUAUAGCCCGUUGCUUAAUACCUUCGCGGGGACCGAGGUUCGCGCUCUGCAAGGACGCUGGCAUAAUGGUCAUCAGCGACCCGUCUUGAAACACGGACCAAGGAGUCGAGGUUUUGCGCGAGUGUUUGGGUGUAAAACCCGCACGCGUAAUGAAAGUGAACGUAGGUGAGAGCUUCGGCGCAUCAUCGACCGAUCCUGAUGUAUUCGGAUGGAUUUGAGUAAGAGCGUAUAGCCUCGGACCCGAAAGAUGGUGAACUAUGCCUGAAUAGGGUGAAGCCAGAGGAAACUCUGGUGGAGGCUCGCAGCGGUUCUGACGUGCAAAUCGAUCGUCAAAUUUGGGCAUGGGGGCGAAAGACUAAUCGAACCAUCUAGUAGCUGGUUACCGCCGAU